GACAGAGGUGCCGAGCGUUAGGCGGAAUCACUGGGCUUAAAGCGUGUGUAGGCGGGUCCGUAAGUACCUUGUGAAAUCCCACGGCUCAACCGUGGAACUGCUGGGUAUACUGCGGGUCUUGAGCCACUUAGGGGCAAGCGGAACAAACGGUGGAGCGGUGAAAUGCGUAGAUAUCGUUUGGAACGCCAAUGGUGAAAACAGACUGCUGGGGUUGUGCUGACGCUGAGACACGAAAGCCAGGGGAGCGAACGGG
rnacentral:rRNA from 1 species